UCAUGGUAAGAAAACAGUGCGGAAUAAUGACCUUAACAGGAUGGCGGUAUAUGCUGAACAGAGCGAUCUUCAUACCUCAACGAUAUGUUUUGGGUGUCAUGGGACUAUUUGCUCUGGCAAAUUCCUUCACCAUGCGAGUGUGCCUCAGCAUGACUAUCACACAAAUGGUCCUACAUGCAGAAUCUACUGAGCAUAUA